rnacentral:rRNA from 1 species
GCAGAGAUGCUUUGGUGCCUUCGGGAACUCUGAGACAGGUGCUGCAUGGCUGUCGUCAGCUCGUGUUGUGAAAUGUUGGGUUAAGUCCCGCAACGAGCGCAACCCUUAUCCUUUGUUGCCAGCGGUUCGGCCGGGAACUCAAAGGAGACUGCCAGUGAUAAACUGGAGGAAGGUGGGGAUGACGUCAAGUCAUCAUGGCCCUUACGAGUAGGGCUACACACGUGCUACAAUGGCAUAUACAAAGAGAAGCGACC